rnacentral:tRNA from 1 species
GCGCCCAUCGCUCAACUGGAUAGAGUGUUUGACUACGGAUCAAAAGGUUAGGGGUUCGACUCCUCUGUGGCGCG